rnacentral:rRNA from 1 species
UACGGAGGGUGCGAGCGUUGUCCGGAAUCACUGGGCGUAAAGGGCGCGUAGGCGGCGUCGGUAGUCCGUGGUGAAAGCUCGUGGCUCAACUGCGAGUCGGCCAUGGAUACUCCGAUGCUUGAGCACUGUAGAGGCAGGUGGAAUUCCGGGUGUAGCGGUGGAAUGCGUAGAUAUCGGGAGGAACACCAGUGGCGAAGGCGACUACCUGGCCUGUUCUUGACGCUGAGGCGCGAAAGCUAGGGGAGCAAACGGG